GACGAACCGUGCGAACGUUAUUCGGAAUCACUGGGCUUAAAGCGCGUGUAGGCGGGACGGCACGUCGGUCGUUGAAAUCCCCCGGCUCAACCGGGGAAUGGGCGCCGAUACGACCGUCCUGGAGGAACGUAGGGGGACCUGGAACUUCCGGUGGAGCGGUGAAAUGCGUUGAGAUCGGAAGGAACGCCCGUGGCGAAAGCGAGGUCCUGGACGUUUUCUGACGCUGAGACGCGAAAGCCAGGGGAGCGAACGGG
rnacentral:rRNA from 1 species